rnacentral:rRNA from 1 species
CCUACGGGGGGCACCUGUGCAGAUGUUCCCUGUGGGGUUGUCUCCUGAGCAGACCCUUCCCCGCCUGGCCGGGCAUCCAUCUUUUCUUUGUAUUCCAUGAUUUCUUUGUCCUUUCCUUUCUUGAUAAAUUUUGACCCUGUUUCCACUGUGCUGACCGGCGCUGCCUGAUUGAGAGCCCGUAGAAAUGCGCCUCCCCGGGCCGGGUUGUAUACCAGGUCAACACUGUAUACCUUAAGAAUCCGCUCCACGGUCUUCCCCUUGGCCGUGAACAAUACGUCGGCCGAAAAACCAAUUUUGGGUUUCGGCUCCUGCUGCUGGAUCACCUCCUUUCCCAACUCGGUCAGUAACCGCCCGCCGGGUCCGGCGGCUUUCAGUUUCACUUAGAUACCCUUGUAGUC